UACAGAGGUCUCAAGCGUUGUUCGGAUUCAUUGGGCGUAAAGGGUGCGUAGGUGGCGUGGUAAGUCGGAUGUGAAAUCCCGGGGCUCAACCCCGGAACUGCAUUCGAUACUGCCUUGCUAGAGUACUGGAGAGGAGAUUGGAAUUUACGGUGUAGCAGUGAAAUGCGUAGAUAUCAGGAGGAACACCGGUGGCGAAGGCGGCUCUCUGGACGGUGACUGACGCUGAGACGCGAAAGCGUGGGGAGCAAACAGG
rnacentral:rRNA from 1 species